UAAAAAGGAAAAAAACAAAAAAAGAUCACCAAAAUCUCUCUCCAUUCUGUACAAAAUCUCUCAAACAGUUACAAAGAAAAUAUAAAAAAAUAAAUAAAAGGAGGUAAGGAUCCACUGAUUCCAUUAGCCACACCUCUCGCUCACUCUCUCAUUUCAUUCCCCUCACUUUCGUUCUCACACACACACACACGUAUUUCCCACUCUCUCACUCACACUCCCUCACGAAAU
rnacentral:lncRNA from 1 species